GCCAUGCGGCCCUGCUCCCGCGUGCUCGCCGCGAGGCACCUCCUCCGCGGCUCCCGCUUCCAGCUCCCCGCGGCGCUCCGGCGGCCCGACGGUCCGCCCGCGCCGGCGCCGACUCACCUCGGGGGCUUCGGACCAGGCUGCAGGGUCUCUCCGGGGACGGGGGGACGCGCCCCCUUCGGCCGCCCCCGCUGCCUGCUCCCGGGCCCGGCCUUCCCGCCGCGGCGGUCCGCGUGGCCUCUCCGCGACCUGAGAGGGAAUGCAUUCUCCACUUCUGCCAAUGCUGUGACAGCUGGGAAACCGGCUGAUGACAACGAGCAUAAAGAUGCCCCGAAGAAGGACAUCGAUGAUCAGAUAGCAGAUAUUCAGAUCCUUCAAAACCUUUGGAAGUACUUGAGGCUGAACAAUAGCCGUGAUUUCAACAUCAGGAUUGUCUUGUCGUUGGGUCUCUUAGUCGGCGCAAAGGUCAUAAAUGUUCAAGUGCCUUUCUUGUUUAAGCUUGCUAUCGAUUGGCUUGCAGCACUUGGCGGCGCUGAAGCCUCACUGGCAGGAUUUACAGAUGCUAAUGCAACCCUGUUGGCUCUCUUUGCAAGCCCAGCAGCAGUUCUGAUUGGAUAUGGUAUUGCACGGUCAGGAGUAUCAGCUUGUACAGAACUGCGGAAUGCUUUAUUUUCGAAAGUUACCUGGAGAGCCAUCCGUUCACUCUCCAGGAUGGUGUUUUCUCACUUGCAUGAGCUUGAUCUUCGUUAUCAUCUAAGCCGGCAAACUGGAGCUCUAAAUCGCAUAAUUGACAGAGGGAGCAACGCAAUAAAUUUCAUUCUUACGGUGACAGUGUUCAAUAUUGUUCCCACAAUACUAGAGAUUGGUAUGGUGUCAAGUAUACUUGCCUACAAGUUCGGCUCCACUUUUGCUUGGAUUACUUCAGUUUCAGUUGCUACUUAUAUUGUUUUCACUUUGGCUUUGACACAGUGGCGGACGAAGUUCAGGACAGCCAUGAAUAAAGCUGAUAAUGCUUCUGGUGCAGUGGCAGUUGACUCCCUUCUGAAUUACGAGACUGUCAAAUACUUCAACAAUGAGCAAUUUGAAGUUCAGAAGUAUGACAAAUAUUUAAAGAGAUACGAGGAUGCUGCACUGAAAGCCCAAAGUAGCCUUGCCUACUUGAACUUUGGGCAAAAUGUUAUAUUUAGUUUGACAUUAUCCACAGCAAUGGUUUUGAGCUCAUAUGGUAUAAUGAGUGGUGCUCUGACUGUCGGUGAUUUGGUCAUGGUUAAUGGACUUCUAUUCCAGCUCUCAGUGCCUCUGAACUUCCUUGGUAGUGUAUAUCGAGAAUCUAGACAAAGCCUAAUUGACAUGAAGUCCAUGUUUCAAUUGCUUGAGGAAAAACCUGGAAUAAAAGAUGAGCUUCAUGCACAACCUUUGCAGUUCAAGGGAGGAUGCAUUGAAUUCGAGAAUGUCCAUUUUGGGUAUGUACCAGAAAGGCAGAUUCUUAAUGGGGCCACUUUCACUGUACCGGCAGGAAAAAGUGUGGCAAUUGUUGGAACUAGUGGCAGCGGAAAGUCAACCAUACUUAGGCUUCUCUUUAGAUUUUUUGAUUCAACUUCAGGAUCUAUACGAAUAGACGGGCAAGAUAUUCGGGGAGUCACACUGGAGAGUCUUCGGAAGUCUCUUGGUGUUGUGCCACAGGAUACGGUACUUUUCAAUGACACAAUUAAGCAUAAUAUACAAUAUGGGCUGUUAUCAGCAAAUGAUGAAGAGGUUUACGAUGCUGCUCGACGCGCCUCUAUCCAUGAUACAAUUAUGAACUUUCCUGACAAGUAUGACACGGUUGUGGGAGAGCGUGGAUUGAAGUUAAGUGGUGGUGAGAAACAACGAGUCUCAAUUGCUCGUGUAUUCUUGAAGGAGCCUUCCGUUCUGUUAUGUGAUGAAGCUACAAGCGCACUGGAUAGCACUACUGAAUCAUCGAUUUUGAAUUCUCUAAUGUCUUUAUCCGUCGAUCGAACCUCAAUAUUUAUUGCUCAUCGACUCACAACUGCAAUGCUAUGCGACGAGAUCAUCGUCUUCGAGAAUGGAAGAGUAGUUGAACAAGGACCACAUGAUCAUCUUCUGUCGAAGCGCGGGCGUUAUGCCGAACUUUGGUCCCAGCAGAAUACAACUGAAGCCAGUUGAUGCUUCUGCUUUUGGUACAUAAGUUUGAUAGACCCAAUACGUUUUCCCUUUGCAUGGGAAAACAAUACACAGCCAUACUUCAACGGAAGCAGGUUUUUAUUUGUCUGCCUUGUAAAUGGAGUUCUUGAGAUUUCAGACAUCAGGGACUGAAGAAAUCUUGUUGGCCGAAUGAUCUGCACCGUUCCACAAGCGUCGUCCUUCGUCAAUUGCCGGUGUGGCAAUGCGGGUGGCGGCAUGGCGAUAGUGCGUGAUGUUCAUGUUUCAGAGCUCCACGGGGCUCACCAGCGGCCUCCCCGAGAAGAAGGCGUCGAGGUUGGCGAUGACGACCUCGAGCACCCCGCCAAUGGACUCCGGCGUGAGCACGGCCCUGUGGUCCGACAGCACGACGUUGUCCAUGGCGAGCAGCUCCAGCGGCACGGCCGGCUCGUUCUUGUACACGUCCAGGCCGGCGCCGCCGAUGACGCCCUCGCGGAGGCACCUGACCAGCUCCGGCUCGUCCACCAGGCCGCCCCGGCCCACGUUGACCAGCACCCCGCCCUUCCCCAGCGCCUCCAUCACCUCCCGGUUCACCAUGUGCUUGGUCUCGUCCGUCAGUGCGCAGGAGAGCACCAGCACGUCGCUGCCGGCGGCGAGGUCGCGCAGCGCCGGGACGAACGGGUACGGCGCCGACGGCUUGGGCGACCUCGAGUGGUAGGAGACGGCGCAGCCGAAGGCGGCGAGACGCCGGGCGACGCGCGAGCCGAUGUUGCCCAGCCCCACGAUCCCCACCCGCUUGCCGCUCACCUGCCAUCGCCAAGACUCUGGUCAAAUCAUCAUCUUCUUUCUUUGGGAUGGCCAAGAAGAGAGUAGUCGUACUAACCUUGGUGGUGAGAGGGUAGUCGCCGUCGGCCGUCCACCUGCCGCUGCGGACGUAUGCGUCGGCGGCGGCCACCCUCCGGAGCACGGCAACAAGAAGCCCGACGGCGUAGUCGGCCGAGUCGGCCGCGAACGCGGCGCCGGCGUUGGUCAUGCUGAGCCCGCGGCUCCGGCACGCGUCAAGGUCCACGUGGUCGACGCCCACGGAGGUGCACGCCACGAGCUCGAGCGCCGGGAGCGCGUCCAGGUGCUGGGCCGUGACCGACGGGAGCCCCCCUACCAGCAGCGCCCUCGCCUCGGCCGCGGCCGCCGCGUCGGCGUCCGCUAGCAGCGCGAACCGGUAACGGCCGGCGAGAGCCGUGGCGAACUCCGGGAAGAGUGGCUGCGCUAGCAUCACAAGCGGCCUCUCGUCGGCGGGCGGCGGCACGGCCAUGUGUUAUCUACUGGAAGAAGGGGAUGGAAUCAGCAGCUGCUGCUUCGGAGGGACUGGGACAAUGGAUGCGGUUGGUGGUCAGGGUGACUAGAAGCCAAGCCAUUCCCAUUGCUGUUGAAUCUCCCGAGCCGGCUGCCAAUUGUUUUUUGAACUUGGAAAAUGACACCAUGCACCUAAGACUCAGAGGUGAACACUGUUGGAAUUUCAGCCAUAUUUUGAGGCUCAUGUCUGAAUGUGACCCAAUAAAAAAUGCACUAUCAUUUAACUCACUGUGCUGCCUAAAGUUUUAAAGGCGUGGGUCAAAAUUUUCUUUUAGGGGAAACCCAAGUUUUAUUGAUCAAACUCCCGAAGGAGAGAAACCCAGAAGAGAUUACGAGGUUGUAGCAACCAAACAUGUCUACCUUGAUCAAGAAAAUACAAAAACUUGGCAAACCUAUCAGCAUCAACAUUUGUAGCACGGCUUUCAAACAUGAAAAGACAAUUGACAAAGGCGGAUCUAUUGAGGACGGCAAUUUUGGACUGUGUCCAGCGAUUUUAUCCGGGUCCUCUGCAUUUUAUUGCCAUUGAGAUACGUGGCAUUGUCAGCGCAUGGUAGACCGGG
rnacentral:rRNA from 1 species